GUUUUCAACAUCUUAUUAAUGCCAAAGAUUUACAAUAGAUUCUUUAUUUCAUUUCAAAGUGUUUGCAAUUUACAAAAUUUAAAUCAAUGUAAGUCGAUCCAGCUGAAAUAUAAAAUGUGAUAAGAAGGCUACCAAACUCAACAUCUCCUCAGCUAGGAAGUAGAUCGAUGAAGGACAUUCUUCCCUCUCAAGAUUUUUUAUUUAUUUCUAAAUCAUCCAUUUGUUUGUGUGUGCAUCAGUGUAUCUUAACGAAAAUAUUGGAGUGAUUGAAAUUUUAAAAUUUUAAUAUAUAUAAAUAGAAGUAUAGUAUUGUAUUUAA